rnacentral:lncRNA from 1 species
CAAACACGAUUCUGUUCUUUCUCUUCUCAGAGCCAGGACUAUGUCAUACCAUUGAUUAAUAAGCCUGAUGCUAAGUGGAUUUUGUUACUACGGACCAUGGAUAUCACACUGAAGUGAACACUACUACUGAAUAACCAGUGUUCACCAGCAAGACAACGGGAGAAAUCUCUGCACUAUGAACCUUCUUUUCCACUCAUGUUUUAUGGAGCAGCUCGUGCAAAGAGUUCAGUCAGAUGACUAAUCUACAGUGACCUGGUUGGAAUUGUGACCCCCACAAGCAGCCUGAAAAACCGAUGACCACUGGGUGAUCCACCUAAUUCCUGGAACUGGCUCACCACAAUCUUGACCCACCCAGGCGCCUGACUCAUUUUGUAAGGGACCAAGAAUGCUUGCCAAAGAUAGCCUGUAACCUUUCCGUAAGAGAUGAGCUGUAAUUCAUCAUCCUCAUGCUUAUGAUGUUUACUCAGCUUCCCCUUUCUUUGUGGUUUUUUCCUUUAAAAACCCUCAA